rnacentral:rRNA from 1 species
UACGUAGGUGGCGAGCGUUGUCCGGAUUUACUGGGCGUAAAGAGCGCGCAGGCGGUCGUACAAGUCGCGUGUGAAAGCCCCUGGCUCAACUGGGGAGGGUCACGCGAUACUGUUCGACUCGAAGGCAGGAGAGGGAAGUGGAAUUCCCGGUGUAGUGGUGAAAUGCGUAGAUAUCGGGAGGAACACCGGUGGCGAAGGCGGCAUCCUGGACCAAUAUUGACGCUGAGGAGCGAAAGCCAGGGGAGCAAACGGG